GGAAUAUUGGUCAAUGGGCGCAAGCCUGAACCAGCCAUGCCGCGUGCAGGAAGACGGUCCUAUGGUUUGUAAACUGCUUUUAUACAGGAAGAAACCUCCCUACGUGUAGGGCCUUUACGGUACUGUAGGAACAAGGAUCGGCUAACUCCGUGCCAGCAGCCGCGGUAAUAUGGAGGAUCCAAGCGUUAUCCGGACUCAUUGGGUUUAAAGGGUCCGUAGGCGGCCUUAUAAGUCAGUGGUGAAAUCUCCUAGCUCAACUAGGAAACUGCCAUUGAUACUGUAGGGCUUGAAUUUUUGUGAAGUAGCUAGAAUAUGUAGUGUAGCGGUGAAAUGCUUAGAUAUUACAUGGAAUACCAAUUGCGAAGGCAGGUUACUAACAAACGAUUGACGCUGAUGGACGAAAGCGUGGGGAGCGAAC
rnacentral:rRNA from 1 species